rnacentral:rRNA from 1 species
GUGCCAGCAGCCGCGGUAAUACGUAGGGUGCGAGCGUUGUCCGGAAUUACUGGGCGUAAAGAGCUCGUAGGUGGUUUGUCGCGUUGUUCGUGAAAACUCACAGCUUAACUGUGGGCGUGCGGGCGAUACGGGCAGACUAGAGUACUGCAGGGGAGACUGGAAUUCCUGGUGUAGCGGUGGAAUGCGCAGAUAUCAGGAGGAACACCGGUGGCGAAGGCGGGUCUCUGGGCAGUAACUGACGCUGAGGAGCGAAAGCGUGGGGAGCGAACAGGAUUAGAUACCCUGGUAGUCCACGCCGUAAACGGUGGGUACUAGGUGUGGGUUCCUUCCUUGGGAUCCGUGCCGUAGCUAACGCAUUAAGUACCCCGCCUGGGGAGUACGGCCGCAAGGCUAAAACUCAAAGGAAUUGACGGGGGCCCGCACAAGCGGCGGAGCAUGUGGAUUAAUUCGAUGCAACGCGAAGAACCUUACCUGGGUUUGACAUGCACAGGACGCC